rnacentral:rRNA from 1 species
GACGAACGCUGGCGGCGUGCUUAACACAUGCAAGUCGAGCGGUAAGGCCCUUCGGGGUACACGAGCGGCGAACGGGUGAGUAACACGUGGGUGACCUGCCCUCAGCUCUGGGAUAAGCCUGGGAAACUGGGUCUAAUACCGGAUAUGACCAUAUGCUGCAUGGUGUGUGGUGGAAAGUUUUUCGGCUGGGGAUGGGCCCGCGGCCUAUCAGCUUGUUGGUGGGGUGAUGGCCUACCAAGGCGACGACGGGUAGCCGGCCUGAGAGGGCGACCGGCCACACUGGGACUGAGACACGGCCCAGACUCCUACGGGAGGCAGCAGUGGGGAAUAUUGCGCAAUGGGCGGAAGCCUGACGCAGCGACGCCGCGUGGGGGAUGACGGCCUUCGGGUUGUAAAGCCCUUUCGGUGGGGAAGAAAAGCCUCGAGCUAAUACCUCGGGGUCUUGACGUAACCCAUAGAAGAAGCACCGGCUAACUCUGUGCCAGCAGCCGCGGUAAUACAGAGGGUGCGAGCGUUAAUCGGAAUUACUGGGCGUAAAGCGCGCGUAGGCGGCUUUGCAAGUCGGGUGUGAAAUCCCCAGGCUUAACCUGGGAACUGCAUUCGAGACUGCAUUGCUAGAGUAUGGGAGAGGGAAGUGGAAUUUCCGGU